AAUCAACACUCCACUCAGACAAUGCCCAGACCUCCAGAAACCAUGUGUCAAGCUCGGAUUGCCUUAGACAGGUGCAAUUUAAGAACAGCUUUCAUCCUCUUUUCUCUCAUAUUGUCACACUAUGUGUUCUGACUUCUGGCUCCUUUCCUCACAAGAAGCUCACCCAGCUGGAACUCUUAUGGGACCUUGGCACCAGAGACCACAAAUUCCUCUUUGAAGUUUUCUAACAGCAACAAUGAGUUUCGCUCUGUCGCCCAGGCUGGAGUGCAGUGGCGCGCGAUCUCGGUUCACUGCAAGCUCCACCUCCCGGGUUCACGCCAUUCUCCUGCCUCAGCCUCCUGAGUAGCUGGGACUACAGGCGCCCGCCACCACACCCAGGAAUCCAACUUGCUGUUUGCUAUCACAUGUGCUAUACAUGCUGUUGAUGAAACUGCUAAAGGGGCUGAAUGUGACUGACGUCUUUGGAAGGAUGAGACUUAGCGUGCCUGUACAGUUGUGUCCAAAUGCUGUCCUCAUCUCCCAAUGAAAAGCUGAACUAGGGCCAUGCCUGGGACAGACAGAGAAUGGCCUUCCAGCAGACAUGCCAAGAAGCAAGCCAGGGUCAGUGAGUGAAGAGGAGGGCAGGCCCAUUUGAAGCAACACAGUUUAUGAACAAAACCCAUCAGAAGAUGUCAGAAGAUAAGGAUUUUUGUCCUGAUGCUACACUUACCAGCUGUCCCUCAGUGUUCUACUUCUUAAAAAAAGAGAGAUGGAUAAACAGAGGCAACCCGAGGAUAAAGGCCUUGCUCAGUGUCACACAUUUCAGUCACUAAAUAAGACACAAUGGAUGCCAGUAUUCUCAUCCCCUCACAAAUAAAGAGCCUUCAAGCUCUUGCAGUCAACAAGAACUUUUGGAAUGAUUUCACUGCCUGAAAAGGCAGAUACAUAGGUGACACCCACAAAUAGGAAGAAAAUCAACCUGAACCUGAGUGUGUGGGCUCACUGACUCUAAGCAGUAGAGACAGAAGAAAAAGUUUUAGCAAAGAAGGGUUCUGAAAGAAAAUAAAUAUAGCUCGUUAUCAAGUGCUGUUUUUACACAGUAAAACAUGGGCAAAAUUACUCUUCUUUAAGUAGUAAUUCUUAUCUCUUGAUUAAGUCACCUACUCAUUCAUUUAAUAAAUACAUACUGAUUGUUUUCUA
rnacentral:lncRNA from 1 species